rnacentral:rRNA from 1 species
CAGUAGCCGCGGUAAUUCGAAGGGUGCAAGCGUUAAUCGGAAUUACUGGGCGUAAAGCGUGCGUAGGCGGUUUGUUAAGUCUGUUGUGAAAUCCCCGGGCUCAACCUGGGAAUGGCAAUGGAUACUGGCAAGCUAGAGUGUGUCAGAGGAUGGUGGAAUUCCCGGUGUAGCGGUGAAAUGCGUAGAGAUCGGGAGGAACAUCAGUGGCGAAGGCGGCCAUCUGGGACAACACUGACGCUGAGGCACGAAAGCGUGGGGAGCAAACAGGAUUAGAUACCCCAGUAGUCCCUGUCUCUUAUAC